rnacentral:ncRNA from 1 species
AUAAUUCAAGGUGAUGGGGUUCCACCGCACAACCGCCCAGUUUUUCGGCAACGAGCCAAAGACGAAGCUGAUGACUCCUACGAUUUG